rnacentral:rRNA from 1 species
GACGAACGCUGGCGGCGUGCCUAAUACAUGCAAGUAGAACGCUGAAGAGAGGAGCUUGCUCUUCUUGGAUGAGUUGCGAACGGGUGAGUAACGCGUAGGUAACCUGCCUUGUAGCGGGGGAUAACUAUUGGAAACGAUAGCUAAUACCGCAUAACAAUGGAUGACCCAUGUCAUUUAUUUGAAAGGGGCAAAUGCUCCACUACAAGAUGGACCUGCGUUGUAUUAGCUAGUAGGUGAGGUAACGGCUCACCUAGGCGACGAUACAUAGCCGACCUGAGAGGGUGAUCGGCCACACUGGAACUGAGACACGGCCCAGACUCCUACGGGAGGCAGCAGUAGGGAAUCUUCGGCAAUGGGGGCAACCCUGACCGAGCAACGCCGCGUGAGUGAAGAAGGUUUUCGGAUCGUAAAGCUCUGUUGUAAGUCAAGAACGAGUGUGAGAGUGGAAAGUUCACACUGUGACGGUAGCUUACCAGAAAGGGACGGCUAACUACGUG